GUAGUACUUUUAAGAACAAGUCAAGAAUAUUUUGAUUGUUAAAGAAUAAAGAAGAGAAUAUAUCAAGAAUCGUAAUAUUUAAUCAUUUAUUUCCGUCCACUAAUCUUCAAAGAAUUUAAUAAUCAGACACUUUCUUAAUAAUUUUAAAAUUCAAACAUCAGUAUAUAUACGCAAAACAUGUGGCAAACUUGUUUUGUAUUUUUGUACUAUAAAAAUGAAUCACAUUCUAUUAGAUUCCUCUUCAUGAGAGUUAAGAACUUAAUCAACAUAUGUACCAAAAAAAAAUAAAAAGUGUAGCUAAUUUUAAAAGGAUUAGUUAAGAACUUAAUUUCUGUUUUUUUUUUUUGUGGUUCUAAUUUUAAUAUAGAAAAUUAUCAGAUGAAAUUAUCUUUAGUUUUAAGUGUAGCUUUUGUGUAUUCAGUCUGAUGUUAGCGAGGAAGAAUAUAUAUUGGAAAGUUAGUGUAAGGAUGAGGAAAUAGACAAAUGAAAAAGUAAGUGGAAGUGAGGAUGAGAACAAAGUAAUUGAAAGGAUUAGUUUUCUUUGGAUGUAGCUAAGUCGCUUCCAAUUUUGAAACUAGAGGAAUUCACUAUAUCAUAAAUUAAACUUAAUAAAAUCUGUUUAUGAUCCAUUAAGUUUAGGCAUAUACAUGAUACUUCAUAGUUGAUUUGGUGUUAGUGUUGUGGCUACUCGACAUAAGUGUGCUCUCCUUUGUUAUAAGGAUCAGGUGUAUUUAUUCCAUACUUUUAAAUUAUAACCUGCAUUGGCUUAAAAUGACACAAGUCAUUAGAUUGCUUUAAUUUAUUCUAUUUUGUGAGGUUUUGACUCUGAUUCAUGGCAGAUAACCUGACACAAGUCAACUAUGAAACACUUUCAGACAAAAAAAUUCCACAUCUUUUGGCAAUGUUCAGCUGGUUUACAAGGCUUUUUCUUCCUCAAGACUCUCAAAAUCAAAUCUCUUCCCCCAUCAACACUUUUCCAUGCUUUAUUGGUGCACCUAUAGUAGGUAUGCUUUUUGAGAAGAUAGAAUAAGACACUGACGCACAUGAUAAGAACGUUGAGGGAUAAGGAGAAGAAAAAGGAAUAGAAUGGUAAAACUGAUGCAUAGUAUAGGGAGGAUCGUGUAAUGUACAUAUAUGCUAUCAUACAUUUAAAACCACACAUUCAAUUUGUUGACUCUAUAUUUGAAGAGAUUAUUAUGCAAUGGCUUAAAUUU